UCCACGCAGAGUGGUCUUUCUUGGUCUUGACCUUACUCUUUUACUUUUCUGUCAUAAGAAUUAUGUCGAUGGUUGGCCUGUUAGCCUUGAAGCCCAAAUAAGAUUUAGGAAGAACUUUGUCAGCGAAAUUUUGAUGAAGUUUCAAGUUGGAGAAGAGCAAAAAUUUUGCUGGUGAUUUGAGAAUCGAUAUGCUCAUGUAACUGUCGAAGUUACCCUUGCCUUCCUUGUUCUCGAAGAGUGUGGUGUUCCAUCGUGUCUUGUAUCUUGGAGAUCACGGUUUCUAUCCAACCGUGAGAGAGGAGAUCAGGAGGAGAUCGGAUGUCUCCAGUCCUAUUACACAAAACCUCUGGGGUCGUUCAACUCUUUCCACUGCUAAUGUAAGAAGCAGUUGUGGCCACGUUGCUUCACAGCACCAGCACAGAUGGAGACCCACAUCAUGACAGAUGCCCACCUACAAGUGAAAACAACUUGUGCUUUUACAGUAUUACACAGACAGGUCAAACACAGAAGACCCAAAAUCACGCAUGCAUCAGGAGAACUGUGCCUGCAGUCCCGUUUUUUUUACUUCUUUAUCUUUUAAAGAUAUCCUUUGAACUACAGAUCCCUAGAACUACGGAUGCCUCGAACUACCGAGGCCAGUUGCAACGAAUUCGAGCUAUCAGUGUUAUACUGUACUUUUACAAAAGGCAUUACAGCCAAGGAAGCACAGCACCAUCACACAAGGAAAGGCUUUCUACCCACCUCCAACCCCCUCAUUUAUGAAGCCUGUGCACCACAGAUGAGCUAAUGGAGAUCAAGUAUGUGCCUGGCGUGACAAAAAAAUAGAAUGGGAGUUUCCAUAAGUUCACACCUGGUUGAAGGGCCCUAAGACGGUCUGUGUGACCAAACCAAGAGUAGAAGCAGCUUUUGCUAUCACUACUGCUGACUGGAAUUUGGGGGCCCUUAGCACCCAGACGUUUAUGCCGUUUCUAAAAUUGCAGGUCUCAGCCCGAACCAUGGACAGUGGCAUCAGAAGGGACUGUACCAAAACAUAGAGGGCAGAGACUGCCAUAGAGGGUGUAGCUUAGAAAAACAGGAAAGGAACCAUCUUUUAGAGGAGGAAAAUUGGACCAGCAGACGUCUCUACUGCCCAGGAAGAGGGACUGAUUAGGAAUAAAGAAGUCAUUCUGCAAUUUAUGGCUGUGUUUUCCUCUUUUGGUAACCUGGAGUUGCAUGUUUUUGACAAAUUUCUCUAUAUUUUUCUUCUUUUCAGUUAAUAUUACCACUAAAUUGACCUCUCUGUUGCAUGACUACCUACUGUAUUUUGGGGUGACAUUUUUCUUAAAAUUAAAUAUAAAAGAAUUGGGUACAUUGAGAAAUGAUUAAUUGUCUUUAUACAAUUCAAUUCAUGCUCCUACCUGUUUUGGUUAGAAAGUUAUAACAAAAUCUGUACGUUUUUUCAAGUUUUCUCAAAACGACAAAAAUUAAGGGGUAUGGGUUGCGGCCCGGACUCUCAUUUAAAACUCAAGUGGAGGAUUUCUUUUAUAUUUGGCCUAACUAUGUAAAAAUGAAUUUUCUGUAAUCUUAAAGGUGCUUUUUCAUAUAUCUCUCACCGAUUUUGAAAAAUGCAGUUUCAGGUGCUUCAGUUGAUGGGAAAAUGCGAAAAUUAACAGAGUCAAGCAGUAGCUAUGACGUUAUCCUCAAUAUCUCUUUAGAGGUUUCAAGUAUCAAAACAAGGCCAUUUAGGAUCACAGAUUUUAUUGUUAGUGUGCUUAUGGGAAAAUAUAAGCACUUUAGUCAAUAAACUGAUUAAACGAGAGCGCGGGCCGGAUUGAGUCAAAAUUGCUUCUGUACCCCAAAAACAUGAAAUAUUUUCAAAUUCCUUAAAAAAAGAUUAUAUUUUGCUAUUUGAAUUUCAUUUUGAACUCCUGGAGUGUUUUAUGAUCACUCUGAAUGAUGCUUGUAUGUGUUAAUAACAAAGUUAGAAAUGUUAACAGCCACCUACCCUUAACCCCAAAAAGACGUAAUGUUGAAAGCGGCUACUUGGGCUCUGCCCGCUUGGGCCAACCCACGCUGAAUGAGGUAUAACGUCUUAAAAACAUUUUUAAAAAGACGUUUCCACUCUCAGAAUCAAACUCACGUCUUCUGCGAGCAACGGUGAAAAACUGAAUCUGUGAAAUGUUUAAUUAGGUGCUUGACAUGUGCUCUCAUGUGGUUUUGCUCCUUUUGAAGUGUUUGGCGAUAACAAAAACAAUAAAAAGUGAGUUCAUUAAGUGAUUCA